UACGAAGGGGGGCUAGCGUUGUUCGGAAUGACUGGGCGUAAAGGGAGCGUAGGCGGUGAGUUACGUUUGAUGUGAAAGCCCUGGGCCUUAACCUGGGAACUGCAUUGAAUACGGGCUUACUAGAGUGAAAGAGGGGAAGAUGGAAUUGCGUGUGUAGAGGUGAAAUUCGUAGAUAUACGCAAGAACACCGAUGGCGAAGGCAGUCUUCUGGCUUUUAACUGACGCUAAGGCUCGAAAGCCAGGGGAGCAAACGGG
rnacentral:rRNA from 1 species